rnacentral:lncRNA from 1 species
GGAAUUCUGUCGUCUGGGAACGGCUGGUUUCGCGGUCAGACGCCGAGGGCCCUCGAAGUCCCUAGCAACGGCUGCGGAGAGAGAUUCUGUAAAAUCGGAUGGACCGCCAAUCGGAGAAUGAGAGCUGCCCAGCCUGGUCUUACAUUCUUUCAAUUAAUACAUAAACAGAAAGGGGGAUAUGCAGGGAGCCGAAGGCCCAUGGGACGUGACCAACUCAGCAUUCCACUGGAGGCUAUAUGAUCAAACAGCAAACUGUUUAUCAUGAAUACAGGAUGUGGGCAAACUCAGGACUGCUCCUGCCAACAUAAGGUUUGCUGGAGGCAAUCACUCCCUGGCACGGAGGUUAUCUACUGCGACAUCUAGAGAAUGCAGUCCUGCAAGCCUACUCUGAACUGAGCAGCUGACCCCUUCUUCCACCCCCCCCCACCCUCCUAUCUCUUUUGCCUAAUAAAUACGGAGGGCUGUGUAAAGCUCAGGGCCCUUGUCCACUAGAGGCAAGGUGCUCCCUGACCCCUUCUCCCAAAUAUACUCUUUUGUCUCCUGUCUUUAUUCCCACGUUCACCCCCAUUUGUGCAGUCCCAUAGGUCCAUGUGGGUUACGGCCCGCCACCACGCCUGGCUAAUUUUUGUAUUUUUAGUAGAGAUCGGAUUUCACCAUCUUGGUCAGGCUGGCCUUGAACUCCUGAUCUCAUCACACACCCGCCUCAGCCUCCCCACAUGCGGUUAUUAUAGUUGAUA